UUGCAUAUCAAUAAGCGGAGGAAAAGAAACCAACAGGGAUUGCCCCAGUAACGGCGAGUGAAGCGGCAACAGCUCAAAUUUGAAAUCUGGCUCUCAGGGCCCGAGUUGUAAUUUGUAGAGGAUGCUUUUGGCGAGGUGCCUUCCGAGUUCCCUGGAACGGGACGCCACACAGGGUGAGAGCCCCGUAUGGUCGGACACCGAGCCUCUGUAAAGCUCCUUCGACGAGUCGAGUAGUUUGGGAAUGCUGCUCAAAAUGGGAGGUAUAUGUCUUCUAAAGCUAAAUAUUGGCCAGAGACCGAUAGCGCACAAGUAGAGUGAUCGAAAGAUGAAAAGCACUUUGAAAAGAGGGUUAAAAAGUACGUGAAAUUGUUGAAAGGGAAGCGCCUAUGACCAGACUUGCGCCCGGUGAAUCACCCAGCGUUCUCGCUGGUGCACUUUGCCGGGCACAGGCCAGCAUCAGUUCAGCGCGGGGGAGAAAGGCUUCGGGAAUGUGGCUCCCUCUUGUCGUGUUAUAGCCCGGUGCGUAAUCACCCUGCGCCUAACUCUCGCGCAUGCAAGGAUGCAGCGAAGGUACACGCGGGCAU
rnacentral:rRNA from 1 species